rnacentral:rRNA from 1 species
GACGAACGCUGGCGGCGUGCUUAACACAUGCAAGUCGAACGGAAAGGCCCUGCUUUUGUGGGGUGCUCGAGUGGCGAACGGGUGAGUAACACGUGAGUAACCUUCCCUUUACUUUGGGAUAACUUCAGGAAACUGGGGCUAAUACCGGAUAGGAGCUCCUGCUGCAUGGUGGGGGUUGGAAAGUUUCGGCGGUUGGGGAUGGACUCGCGGCUUAUCAGCUUGUUGGUGGGGUAGUGGCUUACCAAGGCUUUGACGGGUAGCCGGCCUGAGAGGGUGACCGGGCACAUGGGGACUGAGAUACGGCCCAGACUCCUACGGGAGGCAGUAGGGGGGAAUAUGGCACAAUGGGCGGAAGCGUGAUGCAGAAACGCCGCGUGCGGGAUGAAGGCCUUCGGGUUGUAAACCGCUUUAGCCUGUGACGAAGCGUGAGUGACGGUAAUGGGUAAAGAAGCACCGGCUAACUACGUG